rnacentral:rRNA from 1 species
UACGUAGGAGGCAAGCGUUAUCCGGAAUGACUGGGCGUAAAGGGUGCGUAGGUGGUUUGACAAGUUGGUAGCGUAACUCCGGGGCUCAACCUCGGAUCUACUACCAAAACUGUCGGGCUUGAGUGCAGGAGGGGUAAAUGGAAUUCCCAGUGUAGCGGUGAAAUGCGUAGAUAUUAGGAGGAACACCAGUGGCGAAGGCGGCUUACUGGACGGUAACUGACGCUGAGGCUCGAAAGCGUGGGGAGCAAACAGG